CCUACGUGAGGCAGCAGUAGGGACUCUUUCACAAUGGGCGAAAGCCUGAUGGAGCAACGCCGCGUUCAGGAUGAAGGCCUUCGGGUUGUAAACUGCUUUUAUAAGCGAGAAAUAUGAUGGUAACUUAUGAAUAAGGAUCGGCUAACUACGUGCCAGCAGCCGCGGUCAUACGUAGGAUCCGAGCAUUAUCCGGAGUGACUGGGUGUAAAGAGUUGCGUAGGUGGCAUAAUAAGUAGCUAGUGAAAUCGGGUGGCUCAACCAUUCAGACUAUUCGCUAAACUGUUAAGCGCGAGAACGUUAGGGGUAACUGGAAUUUCUAGUGUAGGAGUGAAAUGCGUAGAUAUUAGAAGGAACACCAAUGGCGUAGGCAGGUUGCUGGGACGGUUCUGACACUAAGGCACGAAAGCGUAGGGAGCAAACGGGAUUAGAUACCCUGGUAGUC
rnacentral:rRNA from 1 species